rnacentral:rRNA from 1 species
AGUGAACGCUGGCGGUAGGCCUAACACAUGCAAGUCGGACGGCAGCACAGUAAGAGCUUGCUCUUACGGGUGGCGAGUGGCGGACGGGUGAGGAAUACAUCGGAAUCUACUUUUUCGUGGGGGAUAACGUAGGGAAACUUACGCUAAUACCGCAUACGACCUACGGGUGAAAGCAGGGGAUCUUCGGACCUUGCGCGAUUGAAUGAGCCGAUGUCGGAUUAGCUAGUUGGCGGGGUAAAGGCCCACCAAGGCGACGAUCCGUAGCUGGUCUGAGAGGAUGAUCAGCCACACUGGAACUGAGACACGGUCCAGGCUCCUACGGGAGGCAGCAGUGGGGAAUAUUGGACAAUGGGCGCAAGCCUGAUCCAGCCAUACCGCGUGGGUGAAGAAGGCCUUCGGGUUGUAAAGCCCUUUUGUUGGGAAAGAAAAGCAGCAGGUUAAUACCCCGCUGUUCUGACGGUACCCAAAGAAUAAGCACCGGCUAACUUCGUG